GACGAACGCUGGCGGCGCGCUUAACACAUGCAAGUCGAACGGAAAGGCCUGCUUUCCCUUGUGGAUUGCGGGUACUCGAGUGGCUAACGGGUGAGUAACACGUGAGUGAUCUGCCCCCAACUUGGGUAUAAGCCUGGGAAACUGGGUCUAAUUCCCGAUAGGACUGCAGGGUGGUGCCUGUGGUGGAAAACGAUUUUCUAGUGGUUGGGGAUGGGGUCGAGGCCUAUCAGGUUGUUGGUGGGGUAAUGGACUACGAAGGCGGGGACGGGUAGCCGGCCUGGGAGGGUGGACGGCCACAUUGAGACAGGGCUCCGGCCCAGACUCGUACGGGAGGCAGCGGUGGGGAAUAUUGGACAGUGGGCGGAAGCCUGAUGCAGCGACGCCGCGUGGGGGAUGUCGGCCUUCGGGUUGUAAACUCCUUUCGACCGCGAGGAAGCCACCUGGUUGGAAGGUUGGUGACGGUAGUGGUAGAAGAAGCACCGGCUAACUACGUG
rnacentral:rRNA from 1 species